rnacentral:rRNA from 1 species
UGGGGAAUAUUGCACAAUGGGCGAAAGCCUGAUGCAGCAACGCCGCGUGAGUGAUGAAGGUCUUCGGAUUGUAAAGCUCUGUCUUUUGGGACGAUAAUGACGGUACCAAAGGAGGAAGCCACGGCUAACUACGUGCCAGCAGCCGCGGUAAUACGUAGGUGGCGAGCGUUGUCCGGAUUUACUGGGCGUAAAGGGUGCGUAGGCGGAUGUUUAAGUGAGAUGUGAAAUACCCGGGCUUAACUUGGGUGCUGCAUUUCAAACUGGAUAUCUAGAGUGCAGGAGAGGAGAAUGGAAUUCCUAGUGUAGCGGUGAAAUGCGUAGAGAUUAGGAAGAACACCAGUGGCGAAGGCGAUUCUCUGGACUGUAACUGACGCUGAGGCACGAAAGCGUGGGUAGCAAACAGGAUUAGAUACCCUGGUAGUCCACGCCGUAAACGAUGAGUACUAGGUGUAGGAGGUAUCGACCCCCUCUGUGCCGCAGUAAACACAUUAAGUACUCCGCCUGGGAAGUACGAUCGCAAGAUUAAAACUCUAAGUGAAUUGAC